rnacentral:rRNA from 1 species
CCUACGGGUGGCAGCAGUGAGGAAUAUUGGUCAAUGGACGCAAGUCUGAACCAGCCAUGCCGCGUGCAGAAAGACGGCUCUAUGAGUUGUAAACUGCUUUUGUACGAGGGUAAACGCAGAUACGCGUAUCUGUCUGAAAGUAUCGUACGAAUAAGGAUCGGCUAACUCCGUGCCAGCAGCCGCGGUAAUACGGAGGAUUCAAGCGUUAUCCGGAUUUAUUGGGUUUAAAGGGUGCGUAGGCGGUCGGAUAAGUUAGAGGUGAAAUCCCGAGGCUCAACUUCGGAAUUGCCUCUGAUACUGUUAGGCUAGAGAGUAGUUGCGGUAGGCGGAAUGUAUGGUGUAGCGGUGAAAUGCUUAGAGAUCAUACAGAACACCGAUUGCGAAGGCAGCUUACCAAGCUACGUCUGACGUUGAGGCACGAAAGCGUGGGGAGCAAACAGGAUUAGAUACCCCAGUAGUC